UCGGCUCGUAAUCAGAAUCAGAUCAGGAUGGCCUUGGACCUUUCUUGCACCUCCCGCCCGGACUCAUCCGCCGGCAAAAUACGCCGCUGCCAGCCGUGUUGUGCCUUUUCCCAGGAUUGGUGAGUGUUCGAUGAAAUGCCAAUGACGUGAAAGAGAUGGUGGUGCUUGGAUAUUCAAGAGGAAGUCUCAAGUAGCACUUGAUCAGAAGUUGGAGCAAGAGGCUAUUGAUUACAAGUUCUGCUUGACUCUGAUGAGGGAUGGAGCAAGACGUGUUGAAGAAAGUCCCUUUGUGAGUCUGAUUUAGGUGAAAUAGGAAGAUGAACCUGUGUUCAACAAAGUCAUGCUGCUGCUGCUAAUGUCUACUACGCUAGUGCUAGCGUGGG